rnacentral:rRNA from 1 species
GCUAGCAGCUAGCUCUCUGCAACUCUCACAUGGUCGCCCACUAAAGCUAAGCAGGGCUGCGCCUGGUCAGGACCUGGAUGGAAAACCACAUGGGAAAGCUAGGAUGCUGCCGGAA